GAUGAACGCUGGCGGCGUGCCUAAUACAUGCAAGUCGAGCGAACAGACGAGGAGCUUGCUCCUCUGACGUUAGCGGCGGACGGGUGAGUAACACGUGGAUAACCUACCUAUAAGACUGGGAUAACUUCGGGAAACCGGAGCUAAUACCGGAUAAUAUAUUGAACCGCAUGGUUCAAUAGUGAAAGACGGUUUUGCUGUCACUUAUAGAUGGAUCCGCGCCGCAUUAGCUAGUUGGUAAGGUAACGGCUUACCAAGGCGACGAUGCGUAGCCGACCUGAGAGGGUGAUCGGCCACACUGGAACUGAGACACGGUCCAGACUCCUACGGGAGGCAGUAGUAGGGAAUCUUCCGCAAUGGGCGAAAGCCUGACGGAGCAACGCCGCGUGAGUGAUGAAGGUCUUCGGAUCGUAAAACUCUGUUAUUAGGGAAGAACAAAUGUGUAAGUAACUAUGCACGUCUUGACGGUACCUAAUCAGAAAGCCACGGCUAACUACGUG
rnacentral:rRNA from 1 species